rnacentral:rRNA from 2 species
CGGAAACGGGCGCUAAUACCGCAUACGUCCUGAGGGAGAAAGUGGGGGAUCUUCGGACCUCACGCUAUCAGAUGAGCCUAGGUCGGAUUAGCUAGUUGGUGGGGUAAAGGCCUACCAAGGCGACGAUCCGUAACUGGUCUGAGAGGAUGAUCAGUCACACUGGAACUGAGACACGGUCCACACUAAUACGGGAGGCAGCAGUGGGGAAUAUUGGACAAUGGGCGAAAGCCUGAUCCAGCCAUGCCGCGUGUGUGAAGAAGGUCUUCGGAUUGUAAAGCACUUUAAGUUGGGAGGAAGGGCAGUAAGUUAAUACCUUGCUGUUUUGACGUUACCAACAGAAUAAGCACCGGCUAACUUCGUGCCAGCAGCCGCGGUAAUACGAAGGGUGCAAGCGUUAAUCGGAAUUACUGGGCGUAAAGCGCGCGUAGGUGGUUCAGCAAGUUGGAUGUGAAAUCCCCGGGCUCAACCUGGGAACUGCAUCCAAAACUACUGAGCUAGAG